AUUUUUAAGACGAUACAACUUUGCGCAAAGAAGCAGAACGACGCAUGCUAAAAAAAGAAGUCUGAAAAUUGUUUAAAAAUGCCGUUCAAUGUUACUUGGGGAUACUAUCUCAGAUUUUCCGCAUCAGCAUUUUUAUCUAUGUUUGCUGGAAGCAUUUGUGUUCAUUAUUACUACAAACCUAAUUUGACUAUUCCUGAAAAACCAACUGAUCUAUCUGCAAUUCAUUUAAAAUCGUUUAUUUCUAUCAAAUCACAAGAAGAUAUCAUAAGUACCAAAACAGAAGUGCAAAAAAAUCAAUAAACUUAUUUGAAUUUUAUUGUUUAUUUAUGUUUUGUAUUUUUAAUGAUUAAAAAGAAAGUUAACGUUUGAAUAAUAAUAUUGAUUAUAUCGUUUUAGAAUAUUUA
rnacentral:lncRNA from 1 species